CAGAUUUUCUGCCAAACUUAGAUCUUUUCCUGCACUAGAAUACAAACAGCUCUAACUGAGAGCUUUCUCCAUUUAAGCUUUCCAGAUGUGGAGUGAAAAAAAAAUCUUGUAGACAACCAGGUGGCAACAAGAAUCAGCAAUGCCUGUAAGACCACCAUACCACCACCUCCUCCCUUAAAAAAAGGUCAAAAAUUAUCAAUCCUGUCCACUAUGAACAUAG